rnacentral:rRNA from 1 species
AAAGAGCUCAAAAUAACGCCUAAGGAGUAAGACUUUAAAGUGAAAACUUAAAGAACAUGGCGGCUUAAAUAACUCAGGGGAACUUACUUCAUAAAUGAUAACCCUCAAGUCAAUCUACCUUCCCUAAUAGCUUAUAUACCGCCGUCUAGUGUCUAAUUGAGUUAGGCCCGCAAAAAAGCGCUUCUUAAGUCAGGUUAUGGUGUAGCCAAUGGUAAGGAGCUUAGCGAGUUACAAUAAACUUUUUUUUCGGUUUACUUUUAGUAUAAAAGUUUUAAGAUGGACUUGAAAGUAAAAAGCAAUAGAAAUAAAUUUUGAAUUUAAAGUUUUAAGUGU